CCUAGUGACGUAGCAAACGCAUUAAGCACCCCGCCUGAGGAGUACGGCCGCAAGGCUAAAACUUAAAGGAAUUGACGGGGACCCGCACAAGCGGUGGAGCAUGUGGUUUAAUUCGAAGAUACGCGAAAAACCUUACCAGGUCUUGACAUACCAAUGAUCGCUUUUGUAAUGAAAGCUUUUCUUCGGAACAUUGGAUACAGGUGGUGCAUGGUCGUCGUCAGCUCGUGUCGUGAGAUGUUGGGUUAAGUCCCGCAACGAGCGCAACCCUUGUUAUUAGUUGCCAGCAUUUAGUUGGGCACUCUAAUGAGACUGCCGGUGAUAAACCGGAGGAAGGUGGGGACGACGUCAGAUCAUCAUGCCCCUUAUGACCUGGGCAACACACGUGCUACAAUGGGAAGUACAACGAGUCGCAAACCGGCGACGGUAAGCUAAUCUCUUAAAACUUCUCUCAGUUCGGACUGGAGUCUGCAACUCGACUCCACGAAGGCGGAAUCGCUAGUAAUCGCGAAUCAGCAUGUCGCGGUGAAUACGUUCCCGGGUCUUGUACACACCGCCCGUCAAAUCAUGGGAGUCGGAAGUACCCAAAGUCGCUUGGCUAACUUUUAGAGGCCGGUGCCUAAGGUAAAAUCGAUGACUGGGAUUAAGUCGUAACAAGGUAGCCGUAGGAGAACCUGCGGCUGGAUCACCUCCUUUCUAAGGA
rnacentral:rRNA from 1 species